AGUAAAAGGGCUGUCUGCGCCUCUUUCAUUACGCCGCGUGGAGUCCUGCAGGGCAGAAAGCUCUGAUUAAAACGGCUUUUGCUGCGAUUCAGAGGAUUUUGGGGGAAAAAGAAAAUGCCCCUGCCUGCUGGAGUCUGUCUGAGGCACUGUUGGUGGGUAUGAAGCCCUGGAAAGUCACAGAGUGCAGCCAAUGAUCCCUAAACCUGCAAUUUAUGCAACUGCUGUAAUCUUCGCACAACCGUAACUGAUGAAUAUGCAUCAUAUCAUUUCUAUGCACAGUGGAAAGUAACCUACUUCUGGCCCCCAGCAAGCUGCGCCUGGCCAACAGGACUGGGAGCUGAACUGGCAGGAGGGCAAACGCUGAUCCUGCCAAGGGCAGAUGAUGGCCUCUCUGUGAACAACCCCUGCCUGGACUUUUCUGUCCCAACCUGCUGACAGUGGCACGGGGACACCAGUGGGACUCCCCAGGCAAAGCCAGUCCGUUCCGGACCUCAUUGCCCCUGAGCCCUGCAGGACUGAGAGACUUGGGGCUGCAAGCCAGACAGUGGGGCUGGAGAGCUGCCUGCUGGGGUCUGCUCUUCCAUCCAGCCACUAUCACUGGGGAACAUCCUGUGUGAGAUACUCCUUCUCCUGGACUGAGGGAGAGUUGCUAUUGCCUCCUCCUCUGUCCGUGGUCCCCCUAGCCCUUUCCAACAUGGCCUGCAAGGCAGCAGGACCUGCAGCAGGACCACCUUUGAUCCUGCCAACAAGAGAUGACAGCCAUCAGACUGACUUUGACACCCCAUGCUCAUGCUUGGUCAAGGACGGGAGCCAGCAUCGUGUUGCAGCACCUGCUGUCUUCUCAAAGCUGGAGCUGAGGCAGGAGGUGUGCAGCAAGCUCUGGUUGCACACAGCAAGAAAACGGCUGGAGAUAAAGCUGUGAAGCUUCCCCGGGGCAGUGCAGUGGUCCAUAGAAACACUGCAUCAGCUGCUCACCAAAUUCCUGCAGGUAGUGGCUGGUCCCCUGCAGCCACACUGCACCUGUGUCCCCUUGCUGAUGUCUAAGUGCCUCUUUAAGACAGAGCAGGUCAAAUAGCAGCAGCUCAGGACAUCGCUGUGGGGCCAACAUAUACCCUGCCCUGCAAUGCAUCCUUUGCCCAGCUGAUGCCCAUCGACUAUCAUGGCAGCAGCUCCUCCAGCUGCAGCGAGGCUGCUGACUCGGCCCAGGGGACCAGUCACUGAUGACCCUUCUGCUCCACACCUCUCCCUUUUCCUUCCUGCAGCAUGGUCACUCCUGUGAGGCAGAGCUGAACCUCAGUUGCUCUGAGAGCCUGAGCAACUUGGACCUGACCCUGGAGAGAGGAGCCCCUGCAGAGCUGGGGUCUGCCUGCUCCCUUGGACCUCUGCAUGACUGUGAAGCUCCUUAAGCUGUAAAGAUGUAUGUGGCACAGAAGGACUGGAACUGUGGCUGGGGCCAUGCCUGUGUUGGUGCAGGGGUCCCAGCAGUGAGCGGUGCUGCGCAAGGCUGCCCAUCCAGCCAAGACUUAUCCAUCCAAGGAUGACCCAAGCCUAGGCGUGGCACAGGUUGUGCCCCUCACUGCAUUCACUGUGGUAUCCUCGGCCCUGGUCCAUGGGAUCCUUGCUAUGAGCCUGAGGCUGGAGCCCUGGUGAGGUGCACCAUGGAUGCUUUGGAUGACCAACACCAGGAGCACACCCAGGAACACAGACUUGCAAGGGAGAUGGACACAGGGCGGCCUCCCACAGGGAAUACCAUGCCAGACAGCUGUGCCGCCUCCCAGCUUAAUGUCCUCCAGCCCAAAAGAGACCCCCAGCCAGUACAGCUCAUCUUUGCAGGAGCAAACUGCAGUGCUCCUGCCACCAGGCACAUGUGCUUGUGCUACCUGUACUGAGAUAAUGGCAUUCAGGGUACUGUGAUGGUGCUGACCAGCCAUAAUCUCUGCUUGGUCUGGGGAAAGUGAUGGAUAAGGAAUUGGCUGGAGGGCUGCAUCCAAAGAGUUAUAGUCAAUGGCUUAACAUCCAAGUGGAAACCAGUAAAAAGUGGUGUCCCUCAAGGGUCUGUACUGGGACCAGUACUCUUUAAUAUCUUCAUCAAUGACAUAGUGGGAUUGAAUGUACCCUGAGAGAGGUUUGCAGCAAGCAAAGCAGCUUUUAUUACCAAAACACAUCCUCAACUUUUAAAUCUGUUUCCAAAAAGAAUGGAAAUGCUGUUACACAAGACACAGAAAGGAAGGCAAUAUCUGUAAUCAGUGUUUGGGAAGAAGCAAGGAAGGCUGUGAAAUACUUUCCAGUUUAUUGGGCAGUAGAGGGGAUGCUAGAAGACAUACACUGAGGGCAAGUAUUUCAAAAGUAGCAGCCCAGAUAAAUUGUACCCAAGAGCCCUGAAAGAAUGGGCUGAGGGAUCUUAGCUGCAAUGGUAUUUAUUUCUUAUACAGCUGGAAUUUCCCUGGUGUUCCCAGGAGAUGCUUGGGCAGGCAGGCAUCUGCUGGGUAUCUCCCUGCUCAGGCAUCCACGUUCCCUGGAGCACAGUGCAUCCUUCAUGUGAGUCAGGCACACAGGGACAGCACGGCUGUUACUACAAGUAUCUUGACAGAAGAAUGGCUGCUUGCUCUUUCUGGGAAAAGCCCUAGUAGAGUAAAGCAAAGCCGAUGCAGCUCCCACAUGAGGUGUUAAAGGGGGAGUGGGAGCACACCCCAUGGGAAGGAGCCCAUUUUGGCCAGCUCUCCACCUCUGCCUCCUCCAUCCCUGGGAUGGUGAAUAAAUGUGAGCAGCUUGAGGAGAGAGGUCACUUCUCCCUGGACUCCCUGGACGUGGGGGCAUCCUGUGAGCUUGCUGCUGGAAGACAGCAUCUCCUUGUGGUAUGCGCAUGGACUCGAUGUUAAUGGUUCUUCUCUUGUCUGCAGCCCUUUGAGGUAUGAUCACCAGUCUGGUGAAUUGCCCUUCACAAGGAAAACAUCCUGACUUCGCUUAGUUGCUGCUUCUUGCCAAACUGUCUCACAAAACAAAGUCUCCAGAAUAGCUUCCAACUUACUUUGUCCGUUCUGCAUUUUUUUGCAGAUUCUGUGAUGUUUGCACAACUUAAACUCAGAGAUCUCUUGUAACCUUGUUUGCAAGCUGUGCUGCUGUUUCUUGUCCUGCCUUGUGCUGUGAAGGUUAUUACAGGUACCCUAGGAAGUGUAGCAGAAAUGGGAGUCCCUGCGGCAGUUUGGGGACUGCAGGUUGCCCUGAGCUGAGGAGGGGCAGGAGGUGGUUUGGGACAGCGUGUGUGAUCCCAGGCACAGGCAGCCACCUGCAGGGAAGUGGCACCUGCCAGCCAGUUCCUCCAGGACCAGUUCUGGACCUGAAAAAAAUUCAGCAUGGUAGAAAAUUAAUAUUAAAUGUGUGUAGAUGAAAUCCACAAGAAGACAAGCAAGGAACUAAAACACUGCAAGGACUGAGCAGCUACACUACUGGCAGCAAGGCUCAGGGCUGUUACAAGCUGAUCUGAUGGCUCCCUCUGGCCGUAGGCUUUGUGAGUCUGUGGAAAAUGCAUCCUGCUGCUGCUCUGUUCCUGCAGAAGUCCAAAGAGCCAGGGAACCUGCUUCUUUUCCAGACUUCUUGUCUGCAAAAUGUCUCCUCCACUGCCUUGUCCAGUGAGUUUUUGGGCAAUGCAGAAACAUGGGGCUGGUGCUGGGCUGGGCAUCACCCACAGAUUCUUGCUGCACACAGGAGCUGAUCAUUGUUUCAAGCCAACCAGAGCAAUAGUUUUAGCAAUGCACUUGAGUUUCUGAAAGGCUGAAGGGAAAUUAUUAUCCUCCUCUGAUCAGCACUCAUUACACUAUGCCUGGCUACUGCGUUCAGGUUCGGCCACCCCAGUACAAGAGAGGCAUUAACAGACUUCAGCGGGGGCCGCUGAAAUGGCGGGGGCUGGAGAUCCUGCCCAGCGAGGAGAGGCUGGAGGAGCUGGGCUUGUCCAGCAUUGAGAAGGGAUGGCUUUGGGGAGACAUCCCUAACAUCUAUGGGGAGAUUACUGAGAAGACAGAGGUAGACUUUUAAUGUAAGUGUGUAAGAAGAUGAAAGAAAGUGAUCCAGCUUGUAGCCUGGGGAAGUUUUUCCUCAUGGGGACAGUCACGUGUUUGAAGAGGAGCCUGGAGAAGAGGUAGGACCUCCAGCCUCUUGGAUUUCAAGACACAGGUGGGCAAAGUCCUGUGCAACCUGGUCUGAUGCCACUGCUGCCCCCGCUUUGGAUGGGAGGUUGCAAUUGAGUCCAUGUUUGGUUUGCGAGUCCAUGAGAUGGAUUUGUGGAUCCGUGAAGGAAGUGGGUAGAGACUGAGGACAUCAACAGCUGAAAAUGGUCUUGGGCAGAGGGAGCCUCAAGGAGGGAUGGGGGACUGCCUGAUGCGUGGUGGGAGGAAAGCCUGAUUGAGCCCAGGCAGUCCCCAGUACCCAGUCUGAGCCUGGACGUGACUUGUCUUGCCAAGAGCACAAGCCUCUUGGAGCUGGUGGAGAAGUGUGGGACCAAACAGCCUGAUGAGUUGGACAAACUUGGAUAAGAAAUGAAGCCAAUUUCUAGCACUUCUUUCUGGAUUCAGACUCAUCCCAACACGCUCUUCUGCCAGCUCCGAAGGAGAUGAGAGAAGGGAAAUUAAUGGAGCUGCUUGGAAAGUGUUUGUAAACGCUUUGGCCUCACGCAGAGGGCUGUGGGGCAAGGGGCAGAGAGUGGCGUGGGGCAAGGGUGUCCAAUGCAGGGCAUGCCCUGGGGCUGGGUGCCCAGCUGUAUGGGCGGCGGGAGGCCAGAGCUGCCUUCCUGGGGAAAAAGCAAUGGGAUGCUGACAUCUGCAUGGGGAUGGGAGCAGGGCACAAGGUUAUGCCUAUGUUUCAGAGGCAGGAGGGUGUAAAUCAGGGAACGUGUAGGGUGCACAGGGGAAGGAAGCUGGCUGGGCUCUCUCAACCCCUGGUGGGACCCAUGCCGGUCAGUGAUUAAUGAGGCCACCACUGGGUCUAGACGAACUGAUUAAGCAUGUGCGGGAAGGCCACCAGGCACCUCGGCCAGCUGGCAGGGAGCAGCCUGGGGCCAAGCUCUCUCGCCCCCGAACAGAGAGGCCGCAUCCUCCAUCCCUCGAGGAUGGUCCCUGACCCUGCUCACCCCUAUACACUUAGCUUGGUGCUAGCUGGCCUGGCUCAAAAGCAUGCGAGGGAGCAUGCACACAAUUUAUCAGCACACACAGUGAUGUUCCAGCGGUUCUGAGCUUUGCUUCAAGAGUACGCCAUUGCUCCAGGGACUCUGCAGUAAUAAAUCAGGAGGCAUCAAUGCAAGAGACUUUUCUGAAGCAAUAGGUGAUCCCUGGUUUUGUGGUUGAGGUGCUGUGAUACUGAGGGCUGCAGCUAUGGAGAAACCAGCGGGGAGAGGGACAAACUGUAUGGCCAUCGCAGUUUCUCUCUGCCCAACAGCCGCUCCCACUACGUCAUGAAGUUGGGAAAUCAGGUCUAUGUGCUUUCCUCUUGCUCCAUUUAUCCUCCCUUGCCCCUCAUCCAUGGACAGUUAGUCACCCAAAAAGCUUCUCAAUCUGGUCAUAUCCCUAUGAUUUUCUGCGAUGCUUUUGUCCUUCUUACUAACGAGAAGCAGUCGCCCCUCUUACCACGGUUCAUAGUGAGGACAUUCGUCAGUGCCGCAGGUUCCUGGGGUCGUCUGGUCAGCACAGGGUCCCUAGUGCUCCUCUGGCAGCUUCCCUGGCUGGAAAACCCAUGCCUUUCACCCACGUGCCUUUCAGAAACAUGCUUAUCUUAAAAAAAAAGAAAGGAGAAUUGAAAGUACUUUUCCUGUUUCUUCCUCUGAUUAUGCUCCUCACUUAAAUUAAUUAAGCUGUUUGUUUCAAAAUCUUCCCUCCAUAAAUCUGAGCAAUGUUUCUGGUUCAACUGACCAGAUUUUGGUUCCAAGUUGUCCUGUUUGUGUUAUCGGCAAAAGCUUUGGCCUGUCAUGCCUGGAAGACAUCGCCCUGGGAACAGCCGGCCAUGCCGAGAAGGAGAUGGGAUAUUCUCUAGCUGAGAUGCCACAGGCAGGACACCCAGCAGGCUCCCUGCACCCGGGUCAUCUGGAUCCCUGCUUACCUUGUGCCCUCCCAAAAUCUAGCAUUGCUUAGCCUGAGCUUUGUGCUUUGCAACAGUGUGAGCGUUGUCCAUUGCCUACCUUCAAACACUCACUGGCAGGCAGAGAAGGUCCUGGCCUGGCUACAAGCGAGGCCAAAAGUCUGCAGCCAUUUGAGCUUGCUAUAAAUCCCCUCCGACUGUGUUGUGCUGGCUCUGGAGAGGAUGAAGGGGCUGGUGGCAGGGAGGGGAAGGAUGGCAGGACAGACCUUCCUAUUCAAAGUGCAUGAAGCUGGACAGGCUUGCUUGGGUCUAUGCCUUGCGAGGGGAAUGAGCUGUGUGCUCUGCUCCUGCCCUGGUGUUGGCACAUCAGCCGCCCUGAGUCCCCACAGCAUAUGGGCAUCAGGGCGGUGCAUUUUAGCCCACUGUCACAUUCUUGUGGCCAAAUUGCCCAAGGAAACAUCUUCCUCACCUCAAAAGCAGCAAUACUGGGGGAGCUUCACCACACUGCCACACUGGGGGAAAACAGUGUGUUUCAACCACAAGCCCCUCUUAUGGGAGCAUCUGGCUUCUCUCUCCUCCCCAGCUCGCCCUCAUGUCCUUCCCUUGGGACUCAGUGCUGAACGGCUGGGAAGGGUCAUGUCUGUCAACUGUCCAUCACAUACUGCAGUCCAUCAGGACCCCCAGAUGGCUGCACCCCCUUCUUUCCCCGUGCAGUCACAGCGAGGCCAGCUGCAAGCUGCUUGCUUCAUACAGAGGAAACAUGGGGCUACAGAUGGGCUGGGGGUUCAAAGUGAUUCCUUGAGCUUGUUAGCAGAGGCAGGACAACCUGUUUACUUUGACAGGGAGAGCGACUUGCUCAGUGGGUGGCUGCAGAAACCUCAGCAAACAGCUGGGGAGAUGCAGGAAGGCUCCUCUGUCAUGUUGGCUUGGAGUCUCCUGGCCACGACUGUUCGAAAGCUGAAAAAUCUGGAGUCAAUCUAGUAAUGAAGAGCUCCAUCCAGCAGCUACUGCCUGCAGCCGCGGGGCAGCAUGAGGACAGGGAGACUCUGGCUGGGGGUACUGGGGGCUGGAGACUCCCCCCUGCCCUGAGCUGGCUGUUCAGCUCUACUAUGCCCUGCUGGUAUGGUGGGGACCCCCGCUGAGGGAAUUGGUGUGGUGUCAGGCUCUGGGGGAUGGAGGUGACAGCUGGGCAGACCUCUUGCGGGGACAGGGUACACGAAGACCCAGGCUCCAUGGUGAGAUAUAUAAUGGACAAAAGUCUUCUCUCUGACAGUUCUGGGCACCUUUUUUCCAGCAUUGUGCCUCCCUUAGCUUCCCCUUUGAAGGACCUGCGCCUGGUGGCCCUGUGGUUUGCGAUGUCCCUAAACUGGGGGCUGGCUCCUGGCUGGGCUAGGUUAGCAAUGAGCCUUUUUUGGGAAUUCCCUGCACAGAUGCCAUGGGAUUUAUUAGCCCAUGUGCUUUUGUGCAGGAGUGUGACUGCAAAAGCUGUUUGCAGAAACAGGCUGGAGCUGUUUGCAAACCUUCCAGGCUGGGACUUUGCCUUAAUCUCUGUGAUUAGCUCAAAUGGGAAGGAACAGCUGGGCAGCUGGGGAGCCUGAGAAGUAGGACAAACACAUGUGAGAUCCAAAGCUUCCCAGAAAUUGCACUGUGUUGAGUUUAGUGCUGAGGGACUGGAAGGACAGCUUUUUAUGGGGGCAUCCUUAAGAGAAGGCAGCUGGUAGUGUGUGGUGCACUAGUGGCUUUGGCUAGCAGACAGUCUGGCAGCCAGUGAUGGGCUGGAGAGCCCUGGCUGUGCCGUGAGGACAGAGGAAAGUGUGGGUGCCACAUCUCCCCUUGUCUCUUGCUCCUCUGAGCCUCUGCAUACAGGGUGUUUAAGGCUGCAGGAGACCACUGGGUUGCGCAGUCUUAGCCCUGCACAGUGCAGAUCACAGACAACUGUGAGACUGCUGUAGGGCAGGGAGGCAUUGCUGCCUGCAUGGAGAGCCAUGAGGGAUGCUCUGAUCCCCCGGUGGGUUUGGUGGCGGGUCCAGGCUGCAGGUCUCAGCUGCAGUGUUCUGCACCCAGCUUUUCUUGUGCGGCUUGGGGCCAGCAUGCUGGGGUGUCUCACAGACAAGAAGCUGUGGCGGAGGUGGAUGGACACUGCACACUGUUUCAGGGAGGUCCUUGAUGGGAGGACAAUCUUAGAUGGGCUGCGCCACCCCAGAAGAGCUCUUCUAAAUGUCCUGCGUCACUCGCUUUAGCAUAUAUAAAAUGCCUAUUCCAACAAAGCGUGCUGAGCACAGGCACAGGCCAAGUCUCAGGACGGCGGGGAUUUCCAGAAGAUUUAGAAGAAAAUGUUAUGCCAACAUUUGACAGGGGUACAGGGGUGACCAGAAAGAUCAUGCACAUGUCUGGGGAGACACUUAGCCCCUAGCACAUCCCCAUGCUGGAAGACGUCUCUGGUAAUCGAACAUUUUUAAAUAAAACAGGAUUUUUUCCUGAAAUUUGUGUGUGACCCAGGAGGUCCCAAAGAAGAUAACAUCAAGUGGGAAGAGAGAGUGACUUGACCUCCAAGGGCUGCUUGGAUGUUUGGAGCAUUAUCCUUAUCUUUGCAGUGCUCUAGCCAAAGUGGCUCUGUGCUCAGCAGCCUGGAGACACACUUAAUCUUUUAAUUCCCUGUGACACAUGAGCAACUGCAAAUUUCAACAGGUUCUGGAAAAACCUAUUGUCCCAGGCAAAAAGGCUAAUAUCACGAGGAUAGAAGAUGAAAAGGCACUCAACAAGAGGCAAGGAGGAGAUGCAGUUAGUGUGAUAGGCCUGAUGAUGGGAGGUGUGGGUCCCUUGAAUGGAGGGUACUUGCAUGAGAAGCUGGAGCCAUGCAGAGGUGCAAGGUCAGCAGUCACCAUGGCUGUUCCAGCCUCACCUGGAGAUCAGAGUGGUUUAUGUGUGCUUUCGGUUGUAAGCAUGCUAGCUGGCCUUUGCAUUUGUACUCCAAACACUCUCCCCAGACCUGCUUAGACCAAUCUUUAUGUGUGAUAGUGCUGCCAUGGCACAAGGACAGGGAAAGACAACCUCCCCAGAGCAUCAGGGCCAUUGCAGAUGGGAGCAGAGGAAGACAGGGGGGUCCUGCAGCCCAGGGGGUUUCAGGGCAUUCUGCCAGACUGCAGUGGGGCCGUGCUGAGGCUUGUUCCCUCAUUCCCUGCCCCUGAGUUCCAUCACCUCUCGGCAAGGAGAACUGUGGGGCUGGCGGAUCUUACCGUUUGGAAGAGAAAAUACAGAUGGUGCUUCAGAGGAAAUCUGCUUUGUCAACAAAGCACUUGGUGCUUCUUUCCAUGAUACUGGAGGUAUCAGACAAAUAGAGGGGUAUCUGUGUGGGGUCUGAAGCCCCUUUCCUGCAGCUCUGAACCCUGCAGCACUGCCAGCAAAAUGGGUAACUAUGUCCUUUCUCCAUGCCCACAUGGGAAGCAGCAGGAGAUGCUCUGAACUCUGUUCCCUACUUCUCCUACUCUCAAUUUUAGCUCUAGCAUUGAGUUUCCCUCUCUGUCCACAAAGCUUUGGCUGUUGGAUCAUGAAGGGACUCUACAUUAUGCGGUGAGCCUUUGGUUUUCCAGGCUUAGUGCAAAGGCCCUUUCACUGGGCAGCUGGCACACAGCUUGGGGUGGGGGAGCUGGGCUCUGGGCUUGCAGACCCAUGAUGGUCCUGCUCCCAGGGGUAGGAGCACAAGGCAAAUACAAAGGGAGCAGGAGAAUCCCCAGAGCUUUCGGCACUGAAAUGGCUGCUGGUUUGUACAUCUUCCCCCUCUCCCUCCAGCGAGGCUGUUAUUUUGCAAUGCUGGCAACUCUCACAGAGACCUUCGGUACUGGAGCAGAGCCCUGUGCAGAUGGGAAUUAGGGCCAUGGCCCUUGUGGUCUUCCUGGGGGUGCAAAAUCCCCUUCCUGAUUGCAACCACAGUCAAUUACUGUUGGGAUACAUGGGGCAUGAUCUAGUUGAAUCUCAUCUUGGCAGCCUUGAGCUUCUCCAGACCUCUGCAACAUGCAGGGUCUGCUCUGUUGUCAAGGCGUCAGGACAGGACCCAUCGGGGGAGGCAGGGAUGGGACCUCUGGUCCUAAGAUGGGGAGCAGGACCUUCAGAGUGCACACAGUGCAGAGCCCCAUGGGUAUAUGCAGAGCCAGCCAAUGGCAUAGCCACCAGAGGUAGGUCUGCUUUGAGUGCACAGGGAUGUCUCUCUAUCCAGUGUCUACAUGCCAGAAAAGCCCUGCCUGUUAAGACCAUCAUGCUGCCUCCAUCACCCAAGCACCAAAAACCUGGGAAUUCAAGAAUGGCCAUUUGACUUGGCCACCAAACUGGUCUCCAGGAGCAGGCAGAGGG